AAAAACAUAGCCUUUAGCCAAACAAGUAUUAAAGGUCUAGCCUGCCCAGUGAAUUAUUUCAACGGCCGCGGUAUCCUAACCGUGCAAAGGUAGCGUAAUCAUUUGUCUUCUAAAUAGAGACUUGUAUGAACGGCUAACUGAGGGCCCAACUGUCUCCUUAGGCCAAUCAAUGAAACUGAUCUUUCAGUACAAAAGCUGAAAUAAACACAUAAGACGAGAAGACCCUGUGGAGCUUAAAACCUACACUAUAAACGCCCAUCCAUCCCUAAAGGGACACCUCCCUCCCCAUAGUAAAAAGUUUUUAGUUGGGGCGACUUUGGAACAAAACAGAACUUCCAUGCCAGGGACCCCUCCCUAUAAAGGCUUACAUGCCAAAAUAAUACUCUUUUGACCCAGCCUGUCUGAUCAACGAACCAAGUUACCCCAGGGAUAACAGCGCCAUCCUCUUCAAGAGUUCCUAUCGACAAGAGGGUUUACGACCUCGAUGUUGGAUCAGGACACCCCGGUGGUGUAGCCGCUACCAAAGGUUCGUUUGUUCAACGAUUAACAGU
rnacentral:rRNA from 1 species